UACGGAGGGGGCAAGCGUUAUUCGGAAUUAUUGGGCGUAAAGGGCGCGUAGGCGGCUUGGCAAGUGGAUGGUGAAAUCCCUCGGCUUAACCGAGGAACUGCCGUCCAAACUGCUUCGCUUGAGACCAGGAGAGGUGAGUGGAAUUCCCAGUGUAGCGGUGAAAUGCGUAGAUAUUGGGAGGAACACCAGUGGCGAAGGCGGCUCACUGGACUGGUACUGACGCUGAGGCGCGAAAGCGUGGGGAGCAAACGGG
rnacentral:rRNA from 1 species